rnacentral:tRNA from 1 species
GGGGUUGUAGCUCAGUGGUAGAGCGCUUGCCUCACAUGCAUGAGACCCUGGGUUUGAUCCCCAGCACCA